UGGUGGAGUGAUUUGUCUGCUUAAUUGCGAUAACGAACGAGACCUUAACCUACUAACUAAGUUACAUGAAGCCUCGCUUCAUGGCCAACUUCUUAGAGGGACUAUAUAGGUCAACUAUAUGGAAGUUUGAGGCAAUAACA
rnacentral:rRNA from 1 species